GACUAAUGCUGCUAGGAGAGGAUGUAGGAAAGAAGAGAGAUCUCCAAUUGACAGGAAGCAAAGAAUAAAUGAUUGUAAAGGGGCUGGCAGUGCUUGUAGUUUAAAGACAGACACAAUUUAGAUAGCACUGAGAUCUCAUUGCAGGAUGAAGCUUAAUGAGGUCUGUGUGGUCACAGAGGGAUAAAACACUAUGAGAUCAGAUGUGGCCCUGUGUUGUGUGUGAGAGCAAGACCUUUGAGCUGAAUUCACAUUACCUGAGCCAUCACCAGGACUGGAACAUUCAUUGGCGUUUUCAGAAGAUUAUAUACAAAACCACUACAGAGAUAAAAGAAGGCUUGACAGAUGGGCCGAAAGCACUGCAGACGUUUGAACAAGGAAAUGGAGAGGGAGCCUGCUGGAAGCAGGGCUUCACGCAGCCAGCCGCAGAUGAUGAAUAGAGUGUGAUUGUGUCUGACAGACUUGAAAGGGGAGGAUUUCUGAAAGUACCCUUAAAGAAGUGGAAAAGAUGGGAAAUCACUGAAUUUUCAAGAAUGAAGACAGGAUAUGCAAACACAAACAAGGUCAAAAUUAGAAGGAAGAGGUGGUAUUUAAAAAUACAGCUACAAAGUGCCUUAAUUAUAUCAAGACAGAAAUGAAUAGUCCAUGAUUUAGCAACUGCAGUACAACUAGGAGAAAUGAUGCAUUGAAGGUAGAUGGGACUUGAGCUAGUAGGUGACGACAGAAAAUUUGCACUGGAGGACCAAGAUACCAUACUUUUCCAGCCUAGAAAUGGACCAUUACAGAAGGGAAUGCAGAUGAACAUGGCUGAACUCAGUGCUGCAGUUUACAGAAGUAUCUGCUCACAGCACAGAAUGACACAUGGCUUGUCCUACAUCACAGACAACACUAAGCAGUGUAUGGGAACAGUAGACAAGGAAAAGAAUUGUAGAAUCAUUGAAUCGCCAAAGCUGAAAAAGAUCUCCAAGACCAUCCAGUCCAACUUUCCACCUACCACCAGUAUUUCCCACUAAACCAUGUCCAUCAAUACAACAUCCAAAUGUUUCUUGAACACUUCCAGGGACAGUGAUCUAACCACCUCCUUGGGCAGCCCAUUUCAGUGCCUAACCACUCCUUUGGAGAAUAAAUUUUUCCUAUUAUCCAACCUGAACCUCCCUUGGCACAAAAGAACAAAUAACAAGUGGUUUGGUUUUUCUGUCACAGGUUGUUGGUGUGGUUAAUAUUCUCUGCUUCAGUACUCUGCGUUUACAACUCUUUUGCAAUGAGGUCACACUGACAAGCCACAAACACUGCUUGUUCCUUUUAAGAAAUAGUGAUUGCUAGACGCAAAUGAAUUCAGGGAUGGCUGAGAGGUGAUCUUGCAAGACUUCAAAAUAUCAAAGUGUGUCAUUCUGAUAUGCCUGAUAAAAGUGUUAUUUAAAUAUCCAUGGAAACCAACCUUCACAUUCAACUCAGGGGCUUUGGUCAUAAAUAAAAUACUGGACUGUGAAGGGAUUUCAAAGAUAUACCUUGUCUUUUUGAUCUCUGCAGUUAAUUCUUUCUCUCAACUUGGUCCUUAGAAAGGCGAUUGAAAGUGCAGCUAAGCUAAACGUUCCGUGGGAGUGCUCUGAUCUGUUUACUGCUUUGAUGUUCUCUGUAGGCUACUGCUUCCUGUGAACCAGGAUUCCAUGGCAAAAUAUAUGUGAUUCUCCAUCUCUUUUUUUAAAAGAUUUAAUAUGCAUUUCUCUCUGCUUGUAUCUAUAUUUGCACAUGACGGGUGAGAAGCAGACACAUGGUCCUCUAUUUCCAGAGAGGUGUUCAAAAAAAGACACCAAAAUCUGUCAGAUAUCUUCAAAGCAAGUUUGGAAUUCUGUGUUACCUUUAUCAGGAUCCUCCCCAAUUUUUUAGUUGUAUAAACAGUAUUUAAGCCUUGAUGACCAUUUAACUAAAUUAAGCAAACAAACAAACAAACAAACACAGAAUUGUUGGUAUUACAUUUGAAUUGAAGGACACAAACAAUGCAUAUUCUUUCUUUGCUGAUUUUGAACCAGAAUAUUUGAACCAGAUUUUGAACCAGAUUAUUUUCCUGCCAGUGGAUAAAAGUUACAGUAUUACUUAGAACAGCCUUUUUAACAUCAUCAUUAUAAAAAUGUUACCUUUAUAACUUGUUUAUCAAUUGACUAUUUUGUAAAACUGCAGUUGGCUUAUCUGAUUGGUAAUGCUAAAAUAUCCUUCCAAUGUUUUAAAUUUUCACCAAAAAUAUCUCGGGAUGGUACGAUUCUAUGUAGUUAUGCAGUGUUUUGAGAAAAUCUUUCUUAUUUGGAUGUUACUGCUUAGCUUCAUAAUUAUACGAAACCUCAUAUCAGUGUUUUCAAAGUAUUUGUCCCUUUUUUUUUUUUUUUUAAAUCUUAAUCAUAACUUUCAGGUUUCUUAGAGGACUGGUUUCAUAAUACAUUCCUAAAUUUUUUGCUCUUUCUUCAAUAUUUUGCUGAUUUGUUUUCAUGUUUUAU
ensembl:lncRNA